AGGGCACCACCAGGAGUGGAGCCUGCGGCUUAAUUUGACUCAACACGGGAAAACUCACCCGGCCCGGACACUGUAAGGAUUGACAGAUCGAGAGCUCUUUCUUGAUUCGGUGGUUGGKGGUGCAUGGCCGUUCUUAGUUGGUGGAGCGAUUUGUCUGGUUUAUUCCGAUAACGAACGAGACUCCGGCCUACUAAAUAGUGACUGGAUCGCUGGUCCAGUGCACUUCUUAGAGGGACAAGCGGCGUUCAGCCGCAUGAAAUGGAGCAAUAACAGGUCUGUGAUGCCCUUAGAUGUCCGGGGCUGCACGCGCGCUACACUGGAGGAGGCAGCGUGCCUUUGCCAUUGCCGAAAGGUAUUGGUAAACCGAUGAAAAUCCUCCGUGAUCGGGAUCGGGAAUUGCAAUUAUUUCCCUCGAACGAGGAAUUCCCAGUAAGUGUGGGUCAUCAGCUCGCGCUGAUUACGUCCCUGCCCUUUGUACACACCGCCCGUCGCUGCCCGGGACUGAGCCGUUUCGAGAAA
rnacentral:rRNA from 1 species